GCGGACUGGUAGUUCAGUUGGUUAGAAUACCGGCCUGUCACGCCGGGGGUCGCGGGUUCGAGUCCCGUCCGCUGCGCCA
rnacentral:tRNA from 1 species